GUACACGCUGUGACUAGCAUAUCAAUAAGCGGAGGAAAGUAAUGCUGUACCUACGCUUAGGAUGUUGACGAGACUGUCGAUCUCAUCUAUACAUGACUCUGUGCAUAUCAAUAAGCGGAGGAAAAGGUAGUAUACCUACGCUUAGGAUGUUGACGAGACUGUCGAUCUCAUCUAUACAUGACUCUGUGCAUAUCAAUAAGCGGAGGAAAAGAACGCAGACGGUACGGCGAAAAAGCUUACCUACGCUUAGGAUGUUGACGAGACUGUCGAUCUCAUCUAUACAUGACUCUGUGCAUAUCAAUAAGCGGAGGAAAAGAAACUAACAAGGAUUCCCCUAGUAACGGCGAGUGAAGCGGGAAGAGCUCAAAUUUGAAAUCUUAAAGGGUUUCCCUUUACGAAUUGUAGUUUAAAGAAGUGUUUUCUGUUGAGGUUUUGGUAAAAGUUCUUUGGAAUAGGACAUCAUAGAGGGUGAGAAUCCCGUAUUUGACCUUUACUUUCAACUUUGUGAUACACUUUCAAAGAGUCGGAUUGUUUGGGAAUGCAGUCCAAAAUGGGUGGUAAAUUUCAUCUAAAGCUAAAUAUUGGCGAGAGACCGAUAGCGAACAAGUACCGUGAGGGAAAGAUGAAAAGAACUUUGAAAAGAGAGUUAAACAGUACGUGAAAUUGUCAAAAGGGAAGCGUUUGACACCAGUGUUGUUUUUCUGAAAAUCAAUUAAAGAACUGUUUAUGCUAAGCUGUUUAGACUUUAUCAGCUAUCUGUUUAGUUUUGAGCUUUUCUUUAAUGCACUUUUCAGUUAACAAGUCAACAUCAAUUUCUUUUGCUGUAAAAAAGCUUGAGGAAGGUGGCUUGAGAUUCGUCUUAAGUGUUUAUAGCCUCUUGCCUAUGCAGUCGGAGAGAUUGAGGUCUGCAGCGUAGAUCCUUCGGGGCUAAAUGCAUUUGUGCUAAGUUAUAGCAUUUUAUAGACAACUUGUUGACUAUGAUUUGUCUUGUAGCUUACUCGCUUAUGUUAUUUUACCUACGCUUAGGAUGUUGACGAGACUGUCGAUCUC
rnacentral:rRNA from 1 species